rnacentral:lncRNA from 1 species
UACAAACUACGCACAAAUUUGAGUUGGCUCACGGCUCAUGGCUCAUGUUGUUUUGUAGUUUGAUUUGGAAAACAGAGGCCAUUUACCGUCAUCCCGCCAUCAACAUAAAUAAGCUGCCCUGUGACAUAAGAAGCCGCUGGUAGGCACAAGAAAGCCACCAAGGCCGACACUUCCUUCGGCUCGCCAAGCCGUCCUAAUGGUGUUCGGCUUAUGACUGUCUUUAAUCCUUCUUCAUUACCUUCAAAAAACUGCCAAAAAAAAAUCUAUUAUACCUAUAAUUGCCUAAUUAUGAUCAUACUAAUUGCUGAGUACUAAUAAAUGAAACAUAAAAUUAUUCAAAUUCAAUUCGAAAAAAAGGGUCAAACUAUUGAGCCAGCGGAGUUGAAUAUCUUAAUAAUGUACAAGUUUAAUCUAGUUUUUUAAAGGUAAAUUACACUUAAGAUCAUUAAAUUAUUAAUAAGUUUGUGUUUGUCAUUCAAUUUUAAAAAGUUACAAAAUAAUCACUAAACUAUUCGAAAGUAUUCACUUAAGUCACUAGAUUGUUAAAAUCGCUGUUGUAUAGUUUUCUUAGUCCGCAUUGCUUGCACCAAUCGAAAAAUUUUCUUCCCCAUCUCUUUUAUAGUUCAAUUUUUCCAUGAAACAACUUUAAACGUUAUAAAUCCAAUAAACAAAACGUCACUUGGAGCUCACUAGCAUGACUUUUUUUUAAAAAAGAAAAGCUUAUUAGGCCAGUGACUUAAAUAAAAACUUUUGAAUAGUUUAGUGACUUAAAUGAAGAUUUUCAAAUAGUUCAAUGACCCAUUUGUAGCUUUUCGAAAUUGAGUGACCGAAACGUAAAGUUACUAAUAGUUUAGUGACCUUAGGUGUAGUUUAUCCUUUUAUAAAUAUAUAUAUAUAUUUAUUAGUAAUUGAAAAAUCUCAAACUGAACUCGAACUUCAACAUAAAUUAUAGAGAUUAAAUUCGAGAAAAAGAAUCGAGUCCCAUUUCGCAUUAGGUGAAGAAGCCUAAUCAAGCAAGUUUGAGUAACUCGAUUUUUCUUUUUAAAUCUUGAAUAGAAUCGAAACUUUAUUGAACUCAAACUUCUUAUGGCGUGGAUUCAUUCGAGAUUGAUUCCAAGUUUAUUGGGAUUGAGGGAGUAUAAAAGAUAAGCAUAAAGAUGAGUUUCUUACGCGUUGAGAGAGGGGAGUUUUGAUGACUGCAGGAGCAACGACAUUAACCCUAAUAUUAUCUCCUGCCCAAUCACAUGCCAAGAAUUUCGCAAGAUGGUUCAUGGCCCCUGCAACAAAAUCACUCAAUUUUAGAGGGAUUAAAGCACAAAUUUUCCAUUUCAAGGGGCCAAGGCCUCUACCUACCUCCCUGCUUAUAUACAUGGUUACAUGGUUAAUCGUAUCAAGCAUUCUUAAAUUAUCACCUAGAUUUUAAAUUGGUUUUUGAACUCUAAAAUAUUUUAAUUGAAUAUUCAAAGUAUUGGUAUUACAUCAAUCAUGUCUAUUCGUUAGUUUAAUCGUCAAUUUAGUCAUUAAAUGAUAGUACGAAUAUAUGAAUCAAAUUGUAAACAUAUCAGAUUCAAGUUGUUUGCACGUAAUUACAAUUUGAACCACAUGUUUUACAUAUGCUCUACACCAUAUUUGAGUUGGCAGUUAACAACCAAGCUAAUAGUUAGAUUGGUAGAAGGACCUGAUUAACAUGAUAGUGAUAUUUUAAAGACUCGAUAAGAAAGUUUUAAAGUUCCAGGGGACUACAAUUUGAGUACGCCUUGAACUUGACAACAUGUCCAAUUUUGGUCUCUAAACUCUUUUUCGGUCCACAUUAGUCCUUGAACAUGUCAUAUUUUCUCAAUUUGGUUCCUAAACUUGGAUUAUGUUAAGGCAUGAGGACAUGGAACUCUAAUAUUGGUCCCUAAACUUGGAAUUUUUACAUUUUAUAUCUAAGUUUAGGGGCCAAAUUAGAAAAAUUACCAAGUUUUGGGACUAAUAUGAACUAAAAAAAUUUCAAGGACCAAACUGAAAAAAAUGUCAUGUUUAUUUGUUUUUGUUUUUUUUAUCGCAUUUAAUAUUUAUUAAUAAUUAUUUGUCGAGUUAAUCCGUUGUGUUUUGAUAAUCUCAAUUUGAUAUGAUUCCCAAUUCUUGAAGCUACAUAUUUCCCGAUAUCCCAACUGUUUAAAAUAACAAUUUAUAUAAAUAUAAAACAUGUAAAAUAUAUUUUCAAACAAAAGAGAGUAAAAUAUUACCUUUGUUGGCUCCCAAUAUAGGCGCAGUACAUAUAGGUAAUGCACCAACAAUUGAAGAAAUAAACACAACGCUUGCAGCGGCGGAAGCUUUCAAAAGGGGAUGUGCCAAUACACUAAUGUUAUAAGCCGAUUCGAAGUUGGUGCUCGUCAAAAACGAAACAUCUUCAGCCGUGUAAUCCGUCACCAUUUUCCCUAUAUUCGUUCCAACGUUAUUUAUCUGCAAAUUUUACGGGUUAAAUUGUGAAUUUUUAUUAAUUUUAUAUAAACAUAGGUUAAAUUCUAUGGGAGGUCCCUAUACUAUAGAGGUUACAUCAAAUUAAUCCCUCUAUUAUUAAAUAGAUCAAUUGUAAUCCCUAUACUACAAAAAGAAUUAAACAAGUCCCCUAAAAAUAAAAAUGUGAUUCUAUAAAGCAAGAAUUAUUAUUAACUUUUUUGAUGAAAUGGAUUCAAAUUACUUUACAAACUCUAAUUAAGAAUAAAUGAGAAGAUCUAGCUUGAAACCUCUUCUCAAAAUUAAAACAUUCAAUUUAAGUCUUUUUAACUUUUGAUUAAAUGAAAAAUUAAUAAUUUUAUCUCGAUCCCUUAAACAAAAUUUCUAGCUUAACCCGUGUUUAUUUGAGUCAACUUGUAAUAUAUAUAAGAUUUACUUACAUGAGUGUAAGACUUAAGUGGUUUUACACAUUUCCAUAAAUUUUUACACGGUUACUGUUUUAACAAUUCAACAGUCAUAUUUCAUACUCUAUUUAUGUAGAUGAUGAAGUUUGGCAAAAAUGAAAAAUUUAUAAUUACUGAUUUUAUGUAAAAAAACUUUCAGCCAUUAAAUAUAUAUUAAUAUAGACAAUAUUUUAUAUAGAUAUGAUAAAGAUAUUGGAUCGAUUAAAAAAUAAAUUUAAAGUUGCGUUGUUAAAUAUUAAUAGUAUAAAAAGUUACAUUAGGAUGUAAAACCAUUUAAGUUUUACAUCGAUAUAGGUGGAUCUCUUCCCAUAUAUAUAUAUAUAUAUAUAUAUAAUGAUCUUUCAUAUAUAUUUGAAUAUUAGCAAUAAUUUACCAGGAUGUUAAGCUUCCCAUUGAACACAGAGGAAACAGUGCUUAAUAGAUUUUCCCUUUGAGCUUGAUUCGAAACAUCACACACCGAACCUGUAACUCGAAAACCCUUUGCUUUCCAUUCGAGUAAGCAAUCGUUGAGCUCGGUUUCAGUUCGAGAACAUGUAUGCACAACGGCUCCGAGUCCAGCUAAUUCCUCCACGAUUGCAUGCCUGAUCAUCGUCGCAGCAAUAAAAAUACUUGGUUUUCACAUUGACAUGAAAUCGAACACAUAGAAUGCAUAAAAAACAACAACACUCUUUUCACUUAUAUUUCCACUAAAUUCAUAUCAAAUCACGAAAAGGAGAUGAACCCUUUUCGCGUUGUCUCAUAUUUUAGUUCUUUUUCUCGAAUUUUUAUGGAGUAGGGAGAGGAAAGUACCCGAUGCCUUUGGUACCACCGGUGACAAGUGCAGUCAAGCCUUGAAGACUCCAUCUUUUGUCUUUGCUACACCCCUCUGCUUCUCCCAUUUUGCUUACUUCUCAGCUUCUUCUUCUUUUCUUUGGUCUUUAUAUAGGGGUACACAAUUUCGUGUAUAUUUUUAUACAAUUAAUAUUGUAAUGAUUCAAUCUUCAUUUUUCGUAUUCCAUUAAGAUAGUUUAUGAAUGUCAAUUUUGACUGUAAAUUAAAAUUUUCUAACUGUUUGUUUUGUGUAAAAAACUUUCAACCGUCCCAUUGAUAUUAAUAUAUGAAAUAUUUUAGAUUUAUAUGGUAGAGAUAUCAAACUGGUUCAAAAUUUUACAUCUAUGACAAGUGUAAUUAUAUUAAUAGAUUUAACAGUUAGAUGGUUAAAAUACCAAUUUUAGUGUAAAACAAUGUUAAUUUUACACUUUAAUUUUUGUACCUAUAUCGUUAAAAUGUCGAUCUAAAAUAUUUAUUUUUAUUCCAAGAUUUUUUCAAUUAUUUUAUUUAUUUAAUUUUUUAAAUACAAUUUAAGGAUACAUAAAAUAAUAUGACAAUGCCAAUGAACAAUAAUAUGACACUUCAUCAUCGGUGAAAUAAUAAGGAAGGACUUUUAAAUAAAUAUAAAUAAUUUUUAUUUAGAAAUAAAUCCUAAACGUGCUUGUGGAUUGAGCCUUAUUCAGUUGACACAGUUAUUAUUGUAACAACCAAGAGGACGUGGGUUUGAACGGAUUUACAUGCGUGUUUUUCUUCAAUUUAAGAUUGGGAGGGGUUAUGAGUAGAAGUAUGCAUUGUAUAAAAAAAAUUCGAAACCCUAAACUUAAUAUAAACUCUAAAUCUUAAACUCGAAACUCAAGGGAAAGAAUGUAAUAAUUUUAUUUACUAUAUUUAUUUGUGGAUGGCACACAACCAUCCACAUAGUGUAUGUGUUUUACUAUAUGUGUGUGUGGAUGAUUUGCUGAAAAUUAUUGCCAUUUUCAUAGAAAUCCAAGCUAUACGACCAUGGUAGGUAGCCUGGCUGUUGUUAUUAUCGUAUCAGUGUCGGUGGUUGUCGUUUUGGUUUAAUAGAAAUCCAAGCUAUACGACCAAGCUAUACAACAUGUAUAGGUACUAUCAGGGACGGAAUCAAAAUUUUUUUAGAGGGUUGAAAUUAAAUUUUUAUUUUUACGAUAGUAAAAAUAUAAUUUUACCAUUUUAAUAAUUUAUAUAUUUUUAUAACUUUAUAGGAUUAAAUCAAAUUUUUAUAUUUUUAGGGGGGCCAAAGUACAAUUUUAUUUGGGUACUACUUAUUGAUUGAUAAGUAUUUUGAUAUUUUAAAUUAAUUUUAAUUUAUUAAAAUAAUUUUUUGUUUUAACUAUUAUUUUAUAUGAAUAGAUAAUGAAAUAUGAUGAUUGUAUUAUUAAAAUAUUGAUUGUAUAAAAAGUUACAGAAGAGUGUAAAACCACUUAAAUUUUACACCAGUGUAAGUGAAUACCUCCCCAAUAAAUAGUUAGGUUGACAGAAGGACCUUCUUGACACGAUAGACAUAUUUUAAAGAUUCGAUAAGAAAUUUUUGAAGUUCUAGGGCCAAUUUAAAAUCUAGACUACAAUUUGAGUACGCCUUGAACUUGACAACAUCUCCAACUUUUGGGCUCUAAACUUUUUUUUGGUCCACAUUAGUCCCUGAACAUGACAUCUUUUCUCAAUCUAGUCCUCAAACUUGGAUUCUGUUAGGGCAUGAUGGCGUGGAACUCUAAUAUUGAUCCUUAAACUUGUAACUUUAACAUUCUAUAUAAUUUUUUAAAUUCUUAGGUGAUGAUGACAUGACACAAUCUUAAAGUGGUACAUCAUCACACCUUAAUUGAACUAAGUUCAUGGGCCAAAUUAGAAAAGAAAAUUACUAAGUUUUGGGACUAAUGUGGACCAAAAAAGGUUCAAGGACCAAAUUGAAAAAUACCAAGUUCAAUGACUAAAUAUUGCUUCAUCCCAAAAAAUAAAUAGAAUACAAUAUGUUAAAAAAAUAGAGGGACUAAUUUAAUAGUAGAGAGACUAAUUUAAUCAUGUUCCUGUAAUGGGGGCCUCUUAGAUACAUUCAACUAUAAACAUAUUAAAAAUAAAAACAUCCUCGUAAUAACAUAACUUUGUAAAAGAAUAGUAUUGAAAACAUACCACUUUAAUUGAUUGGAUUGGGUUAGUUUGUGUUGGUUGUAUUUGGGUUAGCACAAGUUUUAAAAUUUUGAGUUAUAAUUUCAUAUUAGAGUUAUUUCGAUUUAUUUUGGGUUUGUGCCAUUUAGGGAUAAAGCUCGGGUUUUGCAUGUUGAAUUAUUAUGGGGGUCUUUUUAGGUUAUUUCAGCUUCGGGUCAAUUUGGCUUCAAAAUGUUGAACUUUUUUAUUGUUAAAUAGAACAUAUUCAAGUAGAAUGGAUCGAAUUUUCAUAUUUGAGUAAAAUUUGAUAGGACUACAAUUGCAAGACCCAACCCAAAAUAUUAGGCUCAGAAAAUAGGUCUAAACAAAAAAAUUAGACCUGUUUAAAAUACGGUCGUACUCAAGCUCAAGCAUUCAAGACCCGUGCUCGGCUCAACUCGUUCUCUAUGUUUGUAAUAUAUAUUAUAUUAUGAAAUUUACAAUACAUAAAAAUUAAACCUAUAGUAAUAUAUAAUACUAAAAACAUUAAAAAAUAUUAAGAUGUCUAUAUAUAAAAUUUUAGUAAAUGCAAAAAAUAUAUAAAGCUAUUAAUAUUAAAUAAAAGUAAUAUAAAUAUUUUUCAAAAUGAUUAAAAUAUAAUAUGGACAGGCUAGGGUAAAAUUCUAGGCCCAUCUAUUUUGCUAGGUUCAAUUUGAGCAAACAUAAAAUAUAUCAAUAUCAUGUUUAAGCCCAGCCCAAACUUAACCCGACCCUCCCAGCCAUCAACAUUUCUAACCCUACCCAAAAUUUACUUGAUGGUGUAUAUUAUAUUUGAUCUCCCCUGAAAAAAAAAUUGAUUCUAUUAGGUUACAAUUAUCAUUAAUUUUUGGGUAAACUACACUGUAGUCACUCAACUAUUGGUUUUUUUUUCUUUUUUGUCACCCAACUAUCUUAGGUUUUUGAGUAUUUCUAUUUUUUACGUUAAUCAGUGGAUGACCAAAAAUGACAAAGUUGAAUAGUUAGGUGAUCAUUUUAUAACUUUUCAUGGUUAAGUGACAAAAAACAAUUUACUAAUAGUUGGGUGGUGAAUUUGAACUUUCUAUAAUUGAGUGACAGAAAAAGAAACCAUAAUUGGGUGAAGUCUAUUGUAAUUUACCCUUAAUAUUUUUGAUGAAAUGGACUCAAAUUACUUUAUUAACCCUAAUUAAGAUUAAAUGACAAGAUCUAGCUUAAAUAUUAGAGCACGAGUAAUCGAAAGAUUUAAAUAAGCCUAAGGAUUAAAUUGCAAUAAAAAUAUAUAUAUACAUACACAAAAAUAUUUUCAGUAAUUUACCAGGAUGUUAAGCUUCCCAUUAAACUCAGAAGAAACAGUGUUUAGUAAAUUUUCCCUUUGAGCUUGAUUCGAAACAUCACGCACUGAACCGGUAACUCGUAAACCUUUUGCCUUCCAUUCGAGUAAGCAAUCAUUGAGCUCAGUUUCAGUUCGAGAACAUUUAUGCACAAUCGCUCCGAAUGCAGCUAAUUCCUCUACGAUUGCAUGCCUGAUCAUCAUCGUAUUAAUUGCACUAUACUUGGUUUGUCACAUUGACAUAAAAACAAACACGUUGAAGACAAAAAAAAAAAAACUUGAGUUUGAGUAUAAUAAAUUUGAAUUAUUAAUUAUGUCCCAUAAUUAUUAUUUUAGAAAAUUUUUAAAAUUUAACUUUUAUAUAUAUUUUAGAAUUUUUAGAAUUUUUUAUGAUUUUUUAAAAAUAUAAAAUUUGAAUUUUUAUAAAUAUUUUGAAUUUUUGAAAAUUAUUUUAAAAUAUUUUAUUUUGUAAUUUUUGUUGUGAGAGAGAUUAAUUUGAUUAUUUUCAAAGUUGACAAGGACCAAAAGAAUAUUUACACCAAUCUGUUAUUCAAAUUAUUGAGUUAUUCGAAUUGCGAAAUUCAACUUGACUCGAACUCAAAAUUCGAAUCGAGUUAUUCGAGUUGAAUCGAAUAAUUCACAUAACUUGAAACUCAAAAUUAUUUUCGAAACGAAUUAAAUCGAAAUUUUGGUGUUACAAAUCUAUGGUGGUUUGAACAACAUGGAGAUAAAUUAUUGAGUUUAUUUACGCUACCAUUGAUUUAAUUUUAGUUAAAGAGGGAGUAAUAAAAUAGAAAGGGACUUUGAGUCUACAUUUUAUGUUUCUCUAUAUGAUAAGCAAAUGUACAUGAAACAUUUGAAAGAGAGAUUUAGCUACUGUUGCUAAUAUGUGUUUAAGUCAGGCAAAGGGACGAAGAUAACAUCAGAAUUUUACGUUGUUAUUUGGGAGGGUUAUGUAAUAAAAUAAACCAAUAGUUUUGAUUAAAGUAAUACUACUAUUUAACUUUAAACAUAAUUGAAUAUCAUCAUAAACUAUUUCGUAACUUCAACUAUACAUUUUUUUGGGGUUAAAUCAAGUCAGAGUUUUUGAAGUGCAAAGCAUAAAGUUGAGUCGACUCGGAACGACCAGAGUUGAACAACAUCUUUAGCUUUGAGUCGGUUGUUCUUUACAAUAGAAUUCCAAGAUGUCGUAAUGACAUACAUUGAAUUUUUGCGCAUAUCCCACCAUUUAAAAUUGAUUUCAGUUUCCUCCAUGGAUGGUUCCACCAAGCAAGCUUGAAUGGCUUCUUUAUUCUUCAAACGCUCAACCUCGGAUUCGUUGAGGAACUCAUGGGAUUCGACUUGUGAAAAUGGUAUCAACAAUCGACUCGCUUGAGGGUUCACAUCGGAGAAAAACAGUUGCUUUUGAAUCACCAAAACGCAAUUUGAUCCGCCCAUGUUUUCAACAAUAUGUUGUUUCAAGCCUUCGGGCAUCAGUGGCUUAGGUGGAUAAGAGGUAAUGGGUCUCUUGUUCUUGCUAUUGUCUUCUUGGAUUCGGCGUUUCCUUUUCAAUCGACCAUUCUUUUUCUCAUUCAAGAAGGUUUGCUCUUGCAUUUUUUCCUGGUCGACUCUCACAACUUCUAACAAAUAAUCCAUAGCUGUCCAUUCAGGUUGAAUCCUUGUGUUCUUAAAAUCUUCAGAAGUAAGAAGCUCCAUUUUUUCUUUUAGAUAAUCAUAUAGCUAUUAGGGUGGGAGUAUAAAUAUAUAGACAUGAGGGCUGAACAGUUCGUGUAGAAUUGGGUUUCUUUUUUUAUGAAAAAUAUGAAAUAAAUCCAAAUCCAAAUCCAAAUCCAAAUCCAAAUAGGAAUAGGAAUAGGAAUAGGAUGAUUGAAUUUAAAUAGAAAUCCAAAUCCAAAUUUCUUUGCUCUAAACAUUGACAGAACCAGAAACCUAUGACAUCCUAUUCCUAUUUGGAUUUGGAUUUGGAUUUGGAUUUGGAUUUAUUUCAUAUUUUUCAUAAAAAAAGAAACCCAAUUCUACACGAACUGUUCAGCUCUCAUGUCUCUAUAUUUAUACUUCCACCCUAAUAGCUAUAUGACUAUCUAAAAGAAAAAAUGGAGCUUCUUACUUCUGAAGAUUUCAAGAACACAAGGAUUCAACCUGAAUGGACAGCUAUGGAUUAUUUGUUAGAAGUUGUGAGAGUAGACCAGGAAAAAAUGCAAGAGCAAACCUUCAUGAAUGAGAAAAAGAAUAAUGGUCGAUUGAAAAGGAAACGCCGAAUCCAAGAAGAAAAUAACAAGAACAAGAGACCCAUUACCUCUUAUCCACCUAAGCCACUGAUGCCUGAAGGCUUGAAACAACAUAUUGUUGAAAACAUGGGCGGAUCAAAUUGCGUAUUGGUGAUUCAAAAACAACUGUUUUUCUCCGAUGUGAACCCCCAAGCGAGUGGAUUGUUGAUACCAUUUUCGCAAGUCGAAUCCCGUGAAUUCCUCAACGAAUCCGAGGUUGAGCGUUUGAAGAAUAAAGAAGCCAUUAAAGCUUGCUUGGUGGAACCAUCCAUGGAGGAAACUGAAAUCAAUUUUAAAUGGUGGGAUAUGCGCAAAAACUCAAUGUAUGUCAUUACGACAUCUUGGAAUUCUAUUGUAAAGAACAACCGACUCAAAGCUAAAGAUGUUGUUCAACUCUGGUCGUUCCGAGUCGGCUCAACUUUAUGCUUUGCACUUCAAAAACUCUAACUUGAUUUAACCCCAAAAAAAUUAUAGUUAAAGAAGUAGUUUAUGAUGAUAUUUAAUUAUGUUUAAAGUUAAAUAUUAGUAUUACUUGAACCAAAACUAUUGGUUUAUUUUAUUACAUAACCCUCCAAAAUAACAAUGUAAAACUCUGAUGUUAUCUUCAUCCCUUUGCCUGACUUAAACACAUAUUAGCAACAGUAGCUAAAUCCCUCUUUCAAAGGUUUAAUGUAUAUUUUCUUAUUAUAUAGAGAAACAUAAAAUGUAGACCCAAAGGUCCUUUUUACUUUAUUACUUUCUCUUUAACUAAUAUUAAAUCAAUGGUAGCAUAAAUAAAACUCAAUAAUUUAUUAUUCUCUCUCGAUUUAAUUCGAUUCAAAAAUAAUUUUGAGUUUCAAGUUAUUCGAAUUAUUCGAUUCAACUCGAAUAACUCGAUUCAAAUUUCGAGUUCGAGUCAAGUUGAAUUUCACAAUUCGAAUAACUCAAUAAUUUGAAUAACAGAUUGAUAUAAAUACUCUUUUGGUCCUUGUUAACUUUGAAAAUAAGCAAAUUAAUCUCUCUCACAACAAAAAUUACAAAAUAAAAUAUUUUAAAAUAAUUUUCAAAAAUUCAAAAUAUUUAUAAAAAUUCAAAUUUUAUAUUUUUAAAAAAUCAUAAAAAAUUCUAAAAAUUCUCAAAAAUAUAUAAAAGUUAAAUUUUAAAAAUUUUCUAAAAUAAUAAUUAUGGAAAUAAUUCUAAAAAAUAUAUAAAAUGUAUAUUUGCUUAUUAUAUGGAAGCAUAAAAUGUAGACCCAAAGGCCCUUUUUAUUUUAUUACUGUCUCUAUAACUAAAAUUAAAUCAACGGUAACUUAAAUAAACUCAAUAAUUUGUCUCCAUACCCUUCAAAUCAAUUGCCAACACCACAAAUUUGUAGCACCUAAAUCUCGAUUCGAUUUCAAAAAAAAAAAUUGAAUUUCGAGUUAUUUGAAUUGUUCAAUUCAACUUGAAUAACUUGAUUCGAGUUUUGAGUUCAAGUCAAGUUGAAAUUCGCAAUUUGAAUAACUUGAAUAAUUCAAAUAAUAGAUUGGUAUAAAUAUCCUUUUGGUCCCUCUCAACUUUGAAAAUUAGUAAAUCGGUCUCUCACAACAAAAAUUACAAAAAAUAAAAUAAAAUAAAUUUUAUAAUUCAAAAAAUUUAUAAAAAAUUCAAAAUUUAUAUUUUAAAAAAUUUAUAAAAAUUUCUAAAAAUAUAUAAAAAUUUUAAAAAUUUUAAAAAAUUUCUAAAAUAAUAAUUAUGGAAUCUAAUUAAUGAUUCAAAUUUAUCAUACUCAAGUAUCUUGUUUUUUUGCUUUGAAAAUUUUUCAAAUAUAUAUGGUUUCAAAUUUAUAUGCUCUAACAUGAAAUUAGUUAUAAUGUAACAAUAUUUUUAUUUAACAUGUUUAAUUUUUUUAAUUUCACUCGAUUCGACUUGACUCAAAUUUCAUUUCAUUCGAUUUGAUUCGGAAAAAAAUUCAAAUUGAAUUAGGAUGAUAAAAUAGGACUUGUGAACUCGAUUAACUCAAAUUUUUUUUUACUCAAUUCGAUCGAACGCUCACCCCUAGUUACCUUUACUUCACCUAUGGAUAAAACAAUUGUUACAUCACCACAUCCAAAACACUCAAUUAACUAAAUCCUCUUCUCAAUCUCGAACUCAUUCAAGAACUCAUGUCAUUCGACUUUCAAACUCAAUAUUUACAAUCGACUCACUUGAGGGUUCACAUAAGAGAAAAACAGUUGUGCAUUUUGAUCCUCCCAUAUUUUCCACGAUAUGGCGUCUCCUCCAUAAAAAUUCCUUCUUGCAUUUUUUCUUGGUCAACUCCAACAAAUAAUCCAAAGAACUCCACUUGUGUUCCCAAAAUAUUCGCAACUAAGAAAAUCUUAGGUAAUUAUGCAACUAUUAGGGUGAAAGUAUAAAUAUAUACCCAUAUAAAUGGUGUGUGUUAAGUUUUUUUUUUUAUCUAUUAAUUUAUUAUAUAUAUUUUUUAAAAGGGUUAAUAUAAUGAAAAAUCCCUGUAAAAUAAUUUUCUAUAGCUAUAGUGACAUGAGGUCAGGAGUGAUUCCAUUUUUUCAUAGGCCUUGCUUAGCUAAAUUACUAACAGUAUUAUCGAAUUAAUACUAUUUUAUAAUGAUAUAUUGCAUCUACAAAUAAUUCUAUUAAUCCAAUUUGAAAAUAAAUGUAAGUAUUCAUUACUUUAGAUGUGACAAUUGAAUUAAAAUCAAAGUUUCAUGUAUGCAUAUGAAUCAUAAUUCAAGUUUCACGUGAAUAAUUGCACCAAAUCAAAAUUUAUGUAUCAAAUUGCACAUUAAACCAAAGCUCAUAUAUAAACUUGAUAUUCAUUCUAAAAAUAAAGUUUAGAUUAAAGGGUGGCUAUGAAUCCUCAAUUGGUAAUGCAAAGGGUUGGUGUUAGUGGGUACAUCCCACAUUGGUUAAGUAUAAGCUGUUAAGAGUGUUUUUAUAUGUACAUCUUGCUCUCACUGAGCAAUUGUGCCAUAGGCUUAUCACAUGUUUUUUCAAGAGUGUUAUUUUCUCCACACAGUUAUUGUUCUGGAAAAUCUAGGAAUUUUUUGCUGUUUGGGCUGAAAUAGUGGGGGUAGUUUCAGUGCUUUUUUUUACUUCUUUGCCCCUGCCUUUUUAUUGUUUUCCCUUAUGUUACUAGUAUAAAUAGAGGACUGAUUUCUUCAUUAUUUUUACACUGAAUAGAAACACAAUCCUCUCCUCCGCUUUAUGUCUGCGAUUUCUUUAUAAACUGUCAUUUCUUUCCUUAAUCACUUUAGAGAAAAUUUUGUCUAGAAGUUUGGGUUUUUAGCGGGAUCGACUAUGACCCUCCAAACUUUUUUGGGAAUUGUUCCUACUGUGAUUUCUUGAGAAGGGCAACACCAAUCAAGUUUCAUCUUCCAUAUACGAGUGUACGAAUAUCGAAGGACUGUGUUAACCUUGGGGGAUGAAAUCCGCUACAUGAUUACACCGAUCAAGACAAAUUUGGUUCUAAGACAAUGGAUUUAACACGACGCAAUAAUUUUUAAUUUCAUAUUUUGUUAUUCAUUUUCCAAUCAGUGCUAACAGAUUUGUUUUGCAAUACCUUAUUUCCAACAUCCUCUAGUUCAUUGCCCAAACCGGUCUUAUACAUCCCAACUUACCAACUACGUACACAUUUGAGUUGGCUUGUGGCUCAUGCCUCAUGUUGUUUUGUAAUUUGAUUUGGAAAACAUAGGCCAUUCACGGUGAUCCCACCAUCAACAAAAAUAAGUUGCCCUGUUACAUAUGAAGCCGCCGGUAGGCACAAGAAAGCAACCAUAGCCGACACUUCCUUCGGCUCGCCAACCCGUCCUAAUGGUGUUCGGC